rnacentral:rRNA from 1 species
CAGCAGUAGCCGCGGUAAUACGUAGGGUGCGAGCGUUAAUCGGAAUUACUGGGCGUAAAGCGUGCGCAGGCGGUUGUGUAAGACAGGUGUGAAAUCCCCGGGCUUAACCUGGGAACUGCGCUUGUGACUGCACAGCUAGAGUAUGGCAGAGGGGGGUGGAAUUCCACGUGUAGCAGUGAAAUGCGUAGAGAUGUGGAGGAACACCGAUGGCGAAGGCAGCCCCCUGGGCCAACACUGACACUGAGGCACGAAAGCGUGGGGAGCAAACAGGAUUAGAUACCCCAGUAGUCCCUGUCUCUUAUAC